rnacentral:misc_RNA from 1 species
UACGUAGGGGGCAAGCGUUGUCCGGAUUUAUUGGGCGUAAAGAGCUCGUAGGCGGCUCAGCAAGUCGGCCGUGAAAGCCUGAGGCUCAACCUCAGGACGCCGGUCGAAACUGCUGUGGCUAGGGUUCGGUAGAGGAGAGUGGAAUUCCCGGUGUAGCGGUGAAAUGCGCAGAUAUCGGGAGGAACACCAGUAGCGAAGGCGGCUCUCUGGGCCGACACCGACGCUGAGGAGCGAAAGCGUGGGGAGCGAACAGG